UUUCCGUAGGUAUGUAUACGUCGAAACCCGAUUCAUUAGAGUUAAUGCUAACAUGUCCAAGGUGAACCUGCGGAAGGAUCAUUACCGAGAAGUUUUGGGUAAACCGAAACACUCUUCACCCUUGCUUAAACGUCAAAGUUGCUUCGGCAGGCCUACAGUCGGCGCAAGCGGGCUAGCUCCUGCCGAAGGUUUACACUCAGUUACCUUUUUUACGUCUCAAAAAAUAAACAA
rnacentral:misc_RNA from 1 species